rnacentral:rRNA from 1 species
CGUUCUGGAUGCCGAGAGAUUUGGCAGUGCUCGCAAGAGAACCGGAACACAGGUGCUGCAUGGCUGUCGUCAGCUCGUGUCGUGAGAUGUUGGGUUAAGUCCCGCAACGAGCGCAACCCUUGUCAUUAGUUGCUACGAAAGGGCACUCUAAUGAGACUGCCGGUGACAAACCGGAGGAAGGUGGGGAUGACGUCAAGUCCUCAUGGCCCUUAUGGGUAGGGCUUCACACGUCAUACAAUGGUCGGGACAGAGGGUCGCCAACCCGCGAGGGGGAGCCAAUCCCAGAAACCCGAUCGUAGUCCGGAUCGCAGUCUGCAACUCGACUGCGUGAAGUCGGAAUCGCUAGUAAUCGCGGAUCAGCAUGUCGCGGUGAAUACGUUCCCGGGUCUUGUACACACCGCCCGUCACACCAUGGGAGUGGGUUUUACCAGAAGUAGUUAGCCUAACCGCAAGGGGGGCGAUUACCACGGUAGGAUUCAUGACUGGGGUGAAGUCGUAACAGGGUAAGCCGUA